GAAAAGUGAAUCCGCUUGCAGCCCCUGCAAGAUGCGAACCAUCCCAUCCAGAGUCCUGGGGAAGGAAGAUAUAAACAUCCUGUCAGUUGGCAUCCCAGCGAGAGCAGACAUUGUACAGCUCCACGCUCGAAGAUGCUGCAGGGAUGCUG